UGGGGAAUUUUCCGCAAUGGGCGAAAGCCUGACGGAGUGACGCCGCGUGGGGGACGAAGGCCUUCGGGUCGUAAACCCCUGUCAGAGGGAAAGAAGGGUCGCCGACCUAACACGUCGGUGAUCUGACGGUACCUUCAGAGGAAGCCCCGGCCAACUCUGUGCCAGCAGCCGCGGUAAGACAGAGGGGGCAAGCGUUGCUCGGAAUCACUGGGCGUAAAGGGCGCGUAGGCGGGAUGGCAAGUCAGUCGUGAAAUCUCUCGGCUCAACCGAGAAACGUCGGCUGAUACUGCCGUUCUUGAGGGAUGCAGAGGAGACUGGAAUUCCCGGUGUAGCGGUGAAACGUGUAGAGAUCGGGAGGAACACCGGUGGCGAAGGCGGGUCUCUGGGCAUUUCCUGACGCUGAGGCGCGAAAGCGUGGGGAGCAAA
rnacentral:rRNA from 1 species